rnacentral:rRNA from 1 species
UACGGGGGGGGCAAGCGUUGUUCGGAAUUACUGGGCGUAAAGGGCUCGUAGGUGGCCAACUAAGUCAGACGUGAAAUCCCCAGGCUCAACUUGGGAACUGCGUCUGAUACUGGAUGGCUUGAAUUCGGGAGAGGGAUGCAGAAUUCCAGGUGUAGCGGUGAAAUGCGUAGAUAUCUGGAGGAACACCGGUGGCGAAGGCGGCAUCCUGGACCAACACUGACACUGAGGAGCGAAAGCCAGGGGAGCAAACGGG